rnacentral:rRNA from 1 species
UACAGAGGGUGCAAGCGUUGUUCGGAAUUAUUGGGCGUAAAGGGAGUGUAGGGCGGUUUCCUAAGUCUUCUGUGAAAUCUACGGGCUUAGCCUGUAACGUGCAGAGGAAACUGGGAGACUUGAGUGUCGGAGAGGAUAGGGGAAUACCCAGUGUAGAGGUGAAAUUCGUAGAGAUUGGGUGGAACACCAGUGGCGAAGGCGCCUGUCUGGCUGACAACUGACGCUGAGACUCGAAAGCAUGGGGAGCAAACAGG